rnacentral:lncRNA from 1 species
CAACCACAAAGUAAGAACAAUGACUUGACUUCAUCACCCUUCAAAUGGUUGUAACUCCACUCCAGACAUGUGUAUACCUUUUCCUCCACUCCUCUGAUGUUUGUUGGCGCAGAACUCCUCAGUUCGUCCAAGGCAUUCUUCCAUACAGCUACGCUUUCAUCUUUUAAUGCCUUUGCAAUUGUUACAAUUGCAAUUGGUAGACCCCCACAUUCGUUAACUACCUCAAUUGCUAUGGGUCGCAGUUGGUCCCCCUCCACGGAAUCACCUGCUGUCUUCUUAAAUAAAUGCCAAGCUUCUUCUUCUGGUAAAUGUUGAAGUGGAAAACAUUCUUUUGCGCCCAUGUCUUUGUGUAAUAGGUCUUCAUUUCUAGAUGCCAUCACUAUUUUGCAUCCUUUCUGGUCAUCUUUAGAAGGAAUUCCAACUUCCUCCAAACUAACUUCCUUCCAAAUGUCAUCUAAGAUGAUAAGGAUCUUCUCUUUCUGCAGUCUCUGCUUUAGUUCAGCUGCUCUUGUGGAUUCAUCCUUCCCCUUAAAUUCCAAGCCUAACAUGUCUGCAAUUUUUUGUUGAAUAUCCGAAAUUCCUUGUUGAAUUUUUUCUGGUUCUCGAGUCCAAGAUACCUGUAUAUAGACUUCUGUGGUGAACAGCUUCUCUUGCUUAGCUUGUUCAGCUAAUUGUUUCACCAGUGUGGUUUUGCCCACGCCGCCCAUCCCCCAUACCCCAAUCAUCUUCAUCUUAUCAUCUCUUAAUGCAUCCAUAAUUUUGUUCAAAGUCGAGGCUCUUGACUCAAAAGAUUCAUAUUCUUUAAACGUUACACACCGUGGAGGGACACGAUAUGAUACGCCAUCGGGGAAAUUGCGGUUUUCUUGGACUUCAACAAUAACCUGCGCCUUCUUGUCCGCUUCCCUGCUUAGCAGGUACCGUGACUUGAGAUUAGGACACCACCCAUUGAAACAGCUCUUAUUUUCAUCCUUCUUCAAUUCCUCUGCCUCCCCUGUAAUCUCAUCUACCCGAUUGAGCCACUCCUGAACAAUAGGUCUGAUUUGGUCCCCUCGUCUCGUAGCUUCAUCAACAGUUACUAGCACGUCAUCCCUCGCCUUCCCCAGCUUCUGAACUUUGUUGUGGAGUUCAUCAGUAUAGCUCCGAUAGCAAAACAGAUAACUAAGCUGGCGUCCAAUUGGAGCAACCAAGUACUCUGAAACUUUUGCAGCAACGGCAAUAAUGAUCUCUGUCAUUUCGUCUCAGUUGGAUUUGUUUUUUCUUUUUUGUGUGGUGGUUUUGUUGGGAAAACAGAAGGGAAAUGAUGAGAAAACAGAAACAAAUGAAAGCAGGAACAAGAGGAAACUAAAAUAAGAGAGUGGAAGAAAUGGAAGGAGCAGAGUAUUUGUUCCAAGCAGAGAGACGGUCACCACCAAAAUGAAAAGCAGAAUCAGUAGCGAAUAUGAGUGAAGAGAUGGAGAAAGCUCAAGGAAUGCAUGCAAUUUGAUUCAAUGUGACAAAACGAGAACAAAGUCGGUGUUUUGCAAGCAGAUCCUGAUGUGAGGCCGAAUGUGAAGAGUAGAUUACCAAGCUAUGAACACAGAUGUUGGUUUUUUUUUUUUUUUUUUUUGGUGGGGGGGGGGGGGGGAGGGGGGUUUGGUUAUGUUGGAAAACAGAUGGGAACAGAGAAAAUAAGGGGAAAUUAAGAAGAGGGUGGAGCAAAUGAAAAUAAACAAGGAAAUGAAAGGAGCAGAGUUUGGGUGAAGGAAUCAGAGGUGAAUGAGAGCCAAGUUAGGAAUGGAUGAUAGAAUGGGAAAGAGGUAAUGGCUCAAACCCAAUUGGAGUUCAAGUAAUUUGAUUCAAGGAAAGAGAUCUCUGGUGUAAGGCCAAAAGGGCAUGAAAGAAUCAUUAUUGUGGGACCUUAUCUUUAUCUACCUUAAUUUAGUGAUGUUUUGGAGCUGCCUCCAAACAAAAGCAACCCUGCCAUCUACUUUCGGUGCUUUUGAUGCUUCAUUGAUGGAUGAUUUCAAGAUUACUUUAAAUGGUGUAAUCUCUUUUUAAUUUGUUCUUUUUCUUUUUUUAAUUUUAAUAUUUUUCUGUAUAAAAAAAAGGGGGAGGGGAAAGAAUUUUAAUUCAUUGGUAAGAGUUAUGUGAUAACAUACGUAGGGGUCCCGAGCAAAAGAAUUUUAUUUGUGGGAAUCUUUUGAUAACGAAGCAAAUUCAAUUGUGGAAAUUGAUGGAAAAGAUUUAUAAAUUUAAAGUAUGUUUGACAUGUGAUUUAAAAACAGUUUUUUGUUUUUAAAAAUAAAAAAUUGUUUUUAAAAAUUUUUUAAUACUAUUUGGCCACUAUUCUUUGAAAAAAAUUUUUAAAAACAAAAUAAAAUAGAAAAUAAUUCUUAAAGAACAAAUAAGAGUUAUUUUUGUCAGUUUUUAAAAACAAAAGAAAAACAUGGUCAAACAGACCCUUAUAUUUUCACUAAUCUUACAUUAUAUUUCUCGAAAUAUACGUGUAGAAAUUAUAUUUUGUUCACAAUCAUACAUCUCUUGAUUCAAUAAAAUAAAUUUGAUUCUAAAGUUACAUAUAUAUAUAUAUAUAUAUAUAUAGAAGCUAUAUUUGGUUUACAUCACAAAAAACUUGACUUAAAUAAUGAUGGUAAAGAAACAAGUUUUUUCAAGUACGACUCUAAAACACAUGGGUUUUGAUAGAAGUAUAAAUGAGAUAAUGACAAGUUUAGUAUUUUAUUUUAUUUUAAAGUUUGGAGCAAAUUCGAAAAUGAUCUUGUCUCAUCCUAUUUGAUUAUAUAUAAUAAAUAAAAGUCAAAUUAACUUUUUUUUGUUUUCCCUUUUUUCUAACCUAUAUAAAAUUUUAAAAUCAAUUAUUUCUUUUCUAACCUAUAUAAAAUUUUAAAAUCAAUUAUUUCUCAUAAAAAUAAAUUAUAAAAAACAAAAUAUUGAUUUAUUUAUAAAAUGUAUUUAUUUUUAAUCCAAAUAAAUUUAUUCUAGAAAAAAAUAAUUUACAAAAUUACAUUGGGUGGGUAGGGGGAUUUCUCCUACCUUUCCUAACCUGCCCAUUUAGUCAAAUUUCUUAUAUAUAUUGGAAUGGGGUUGAGAUAGGGAUUACCCGUGUAUUCGAAUGAGGUUGACAAUCAUGAAAAGAAAAGAAAAAACAAAAAAUCUCAUAUAUUAUUCAAAACUUGCAUGUCUACAUAUUUUCUUCAAAUGAUAUAAAACUUUAUUCAAUAAAAUGCUUUAUUCCAACUGUCAUAUAUAAAAAUUAAAGUAGGUUUGCAAUUCCAAGAACUUUAUUCCAAAAAAGAAAAAAAAAUCCUUUAUAUUAUUCCAAACUUACAUGUCUAAAAGAACUUUAUUGGAAACUUAAAUGUGUAAAAUAUAUUCUUAGUUUACGUGACAAAGAAGUUGAUUGAAAGAAAUAGAAAUAGAGAAAAAGAAAACCAAAAUAUGUCUCCAACUUGAAGCGUCUGUGAAGAUGCCAUGUAAAAGAAUAACUUUCAUGGGAAUGGCUUCAGCUCAAGUAUAAUGGAAAAGAAAAGAUAUAGCUUUCAUGUUAGGGGUGACUUUGCCUUGAUAUGCUUUGCUUUGGAAUUUGGAUGAUCUUUUGCCUAUUUGUUUCCUCAAAAAUUUAAGGAAAAAUGCAAGAAAAAAUAAUAGAGCAGGAAAAUAGAAAGAAAAAAAAAUAAAAAAAAUAAAAUUCAAAUUAUUUUUAUAUGUUACUUCAACUUCAUUUAAUUUAUUUUAACUUUUUAAUAUAAAAAUUAAAUAAUUUAAAAAUACAUAAGUUUUUAAUUAAUUUUAAUUAUAUUUAAUUUUCUUUAACAUUUUUCAUACGAUAAAAAAGAUAAAAAAAAUCAUUUUUUUUUACAUUUUCUUCUUUUCUUAAUGCUUUUUAAUGAACCAAACAUAACCUUUAUAUAUUGAGUUUAACAAUAUUGAAUAAAAAUGGUACCAAGAAACCAAUUAAGUGUAAUGAGGUUUAAACCUUUUACAUAUGAACUCGAUCUACCUUUUGUUUUUGUUGAUGUGAUAUUUUUUAUGUUAAUAGUUAAAGAAGCAGAAGAGGAUUUAGCAUUUUAGAAAAGGUAAUAAAAUAGAUGAUUAAAACUAUCAAUUAUAUUUAAUCAUAUUAAUGGCACUGGCAAAGGCAGAAAUAAUGGGCAGGGGGCAAAACCAAAAAAAAAAAUUGUUUGAAGGGAGGUGAUGGUCUUCAAGAUGCAAAAUUGGCUCCUUGGUUAAGCCUUUUUUACCUUUAAAUUUGGCAUAGAAAUUUGGUUUUUCGGGAUGGGGGUAGAUGAACUUUAGUGGCUUUUAGUGGCUUAAUGAACUUUUAUUUUUUUUUCAUUUUCCCUUUUUUCUAACCCCAUAUAAAAUUUUACAAAUAAUUACUUCUCAUAAAAAUAAAUUAUAAAAAAUAGAAUAUUGAAUUAUUUAUAAAUUGUAUUCAUUUUAACUCAAUUAAAUUUUUUCUAAAAAAUAAAAUAAUAAUUAAAAAUUACAUUGGGCUGGUAAGAGAAUUUCUCCUACCUACCCUAACCCGUCUAUUCCGUUAAAUUUCUUAUAUAUAUUGGAAUGGAGUUAAGAUAGGGAUGUUCCAUAUAUUGGAAUAAGGUUAAGAUAAUUGGAACACAUGAGGUUGAGAUAAAGAUGACCCAUUUGCUGUUAUACCUGGACUUAGACAAAAGAAAAGUAACUGCUCAUAUAUUAUUCAAAACUUGCUUGUCUAUGCGUUUUUUUCAAAUCAUAUAAAACUUUAUUCAAUGAAAUGCUUUAUUCCAACUGCAAUAUAUAAAAAUUAAAGUAGGUUUGCAAUUCCAAGAACUUGAUUCCAAAAAGCAAAAAAAAAAAAUCCUUUAUAUUAUUCCAAACUUACAUGUCUAAAAGAACUUUAUUGGAAACUUAAAUUUAUAAAAUGCAUUAUUAGUUUAUGUGACAAAAAAAGCUGAUUGAAAGAAAAAGAAAAAAAAAAAGAAAAAAAGAAAACCAGAAUAUUACUCCAACUUGAGCCAUUUGUGAAGAUGCCAUGUCAAAGAAUAACUUUGAUGGGCAUGACUUUAGCUUAAGGAUAAUGGAAAAGAAAAGAUAUGGCUUGCAUGUCAGGGAUGACUUUAAUUUGAUGUGCUUUGCUUUGGAAUUUGGAUAAUAUUUUGCCUAUGUUUUUUUCCUUGAAAAUUCAUGGGAAAAUGCAAGGAAAAGAUAAUAAAGAGGGCAAAUAGAAGAAAAGAAAAUAAAAAAUAUUUAAAAUGAUUAAUAAAUUAUUUUUAUGUGUUACUUCAAAUUCAUUUUACUUAUUUUAACUCUUCAUAAGUUUUUAAUUAAUUUUAAUUAUAUUUGAUUUUUUUUUACAUUUUUCAUAGGAUAAAUGAAUAUGAAAAAAUCAUUUUUCUUAAUAAUAUUUUUUUUUUCUUAAUACUUUUCAUAAACCAAACAUAAUCUUUAUUUAUUAAGUUUAACAAUGCAUAAUAAAAAUGGUACCAAGUAAUGAAAUCAAUAAAGUGUAAUGAGGUUUAAACCUUUUACACAUGAAAUCGAUCUAACUUUUGUUUUUGUUUUUGUUGAUGUGAUAUUUUCAUGUUAAUAGUUAUAGAAGUAGAAGAGAAUUUAGCAUUCGGUGGGGUGGGUGGGGGAAUGUGUCUUCAAAAUGCAAAUUAGCUCCAUGGUUAUGCCUUUUUACCUUUAAAUUUGGAAAUUUAGUUGAAUAUAAACAAUCAUGAUUCAUCAUACAUUGGAUGAAUCAACCCAAAGCACAAAUCAAAGAUCAAGAGUAAAGUCAUGUAUAAGCAAAAAUAGAUAUAUCAUAAAUGUAUAGGCAAAAAAAAAAAAAAAACCCAAAUAAAAUAUUUAAAGUGAUAUAAUGAAGUAAAGAAAUACAUACAUGAAAUGUGCAACAUGCCCUCAACAUAAAUCAAGAUUAAAAGAACUCACAAUUAUAUAUAAAAAGAUGAAUUAUCAAGAAUAGGUAAAACACUCAACAACAUGGCAAAAAUGAAGUAUUCAUAACAUAAAUCAUAAUAAAAUAUUUAAACAUGGUAUUUUAUCAAAAUAAAAUUUGAGCAUCAUCCUCAAUGUGUCUAAAAGGUAACCCAAGUGUUAAAAUAAAUUAAUCAACCCUCAGUUAAUCCAGAUUAAAUCAAAUUUAUCAACGCUCUACAAAACAUUCAGUAUUGGUCAAAACAGGAACACUUACAAAAUAAAUCCUAAAAAAAUAUUUAGAAAUAGAAUUUUAUCAUGAAAAAAAUUGGACAACAUAUUUAACAUGUCUAGAUUACAAUGCAAAAUUAUUUAAUCACAUGUCAAUCAAUACCAGAUUUCGUUGCAUUAGGGACACUACAUAGAACCAUUAACAUUCAAUAAGAACAGAGGAACUUGCAAAAUAAGUCCCAAAAGAAGAUACUUAGAUAUGGAAUUUUGUCAUGAAAAAAAAUAGACAACAUCUUUAAUAUGUUUAAAUUACGACUCAAAAUGCCAAAUUAUUAAAUUAUAUCUCAUUCAAUACCAGAUUUCAUCACAAGCACAUUGGUCAGAAACAAAGCAAAUUUCAAUAGCAUUUCAAAACAAAUUUAUUUAACUAACCUACAAGCAUGGUAAAAUCAAAAGAAAAAACUUUACAAUAUAUUCAACAUGAUUAUUUUAUAAGAAAGUCUUAAUUGAAGGAAUGACUUAUCUUAGUCAUAAAAACAGGUUUCCCAUUGUGAGUGCACUAGUGUAUACGGUUACACAUUGACAGAACCUGUAGUGAAUCAUGAGAUUAAUUAUUGAAUAGUGUAUAUGGUUGCAUGAGCUCUCAACCUUAAGAGAAUAUUAAGCUACUAUUAAGGUCUUCAAUGACUUUGAUAUACAAGUAAGAUUGUAAAGUAAUCAUAUAAUCCCUAUUAAUUAAGUCAUUAUUGAUUAAGGCAAGUGGCAAUAGGUAUUUUUGAAAUAAAUAUCAUGAUAUCUCAUGAGAUUGACACAAUAUAUCUACUUACAUGAUCCUAAGGACUUGUGAUUGUAAAAUUUGUAGCAUCACAGUAGUUCUUUUAGUAGAAUUUGACAUAUGCUCUUAGUAAGCUGAAGUAUGUUAAUUGGUCACAUAAUAAGAAGAUAUCAAACUCAAAAAUGAUAGAUGUAAUUUUAAGAGGUUGAUGGCUUUCAUCUUGUUAGAUUAUAGACAUUAGUUCACAAGGAGCUUACAUGUAGCAAUUAGUAGGUCAUAGACCUAAGAAAUUGAUUAAAGUACAUUUAGUCAACUUAUUUCUUAAUUUAAUUUCAUAGGAUGUUGGAAUACAAUUGACUUUUUGUAAUGGAAUGUUGAGCCAACUUCAAAAUUGGAUUCCAAGAGAGCUAAUAUUUUUCUACGGUCCUAGUAGUCCCUGCUCAAACUCAUGCUCCUUGAUGGUAUGUUGUUUUGAGGGAUAUUUGAGAUUUUACUUAUAUGUAUGUAUAAAGGUGUUUUCAUAAAAGUACAAAAAUUGCACAAGAAUUUAUGAAUUAUUUUUUUAGAUUUGGCUAAUUAAUUAAUUAGAACCUAAGAAGGUUAAUUAAUUUAUUAAGACCUAGUGGAUAAGAUAAAGUAACUCAAGUCUAAGAUGGAUUCAAGUUACUUAAGCUCACAAGGACUAUAUGAACCCUUUUAGGGUUCAAGAUUAGAGACUUUAAUUUAUUAUUGUCUUCCAAAGAGAGAAAGAAAACUCUAACCUUCAUCCCCUAAAGAGAAUUUUUCCCUUCUUUGUUGCCAAGAUUUAUAACAGAGCUAUUGGAUAUAAGAUAUCUAGGCCUUUGAGAUUGUUCUUCAUCAAUGGAAAAAAAAAAUUGGGAAUAUCCAAAUUUGAAGUAUCAUUGUUUACUUGUUUCUCACACUUGAAUAAAGUUUUUAAAAUGCAUAUUAGUUUUUGUUGCACUUAGAAUCUUAAAUGCACGCACCAUUUAACCCGCUAUCUAAUUUAUUAUUGUCUUCUAUAGAGAGAGAAAGAAAACUCCAACCUCCAUCCCUUUAAAGAGAAGUUUUUCCUUCUCCAUUACCAAGAUCCAUGGAAGAGCUAUUGUAUAAAAGAUUUAUAAAUAAGUAACCUAACCCUCGAUGUCGAUCCUGUUUUUCACAGACCACCUUUUCCAAAACAAGGAGUCACACUUAGGGUUUUUCUUCUUAUUUUGUUUACCUUUUUUAAAAUAAAACAAAAAUAAGUAGCGACUCCAAGUCAUUUUCUAAUAAAUAAAAUCAUUUUCAAAAUAAAAAUUGAGCUCGUCAUCGAGUGGAAGCGCAUGAGCCGAAAUGCGGGGUCCACACUGUAUUUUAAAAUAAAUUUAAUUUCUACAUAAAUCAAUUAAAAAUAUAUUUUGAUAUAAUACAAUUUUCAUCAAUCAAUUAAAGAAUUUUUUUAUUUAGAAUUUUAAUUUUAUUAUAUGAAGGAAAUAAAAAUUUUGAUUUGACAGAACACAGAAGACAAACUAUACAAUAAAAUUAUUUAAUAAUAAAAUAUUUAUUUUAUAAAAAAAAAAAUUAAUAUAAAAUAAUAAAAUUAUAAUUUUUUUAUUAGUAUACACCAAAUAAAAGAGGUUUAUGGUGAAAUUUCAAAUAUAUAGGAUUUAGAUGUAUUCAGUCAAAACCUUAUGGGAGGCAAAUGAAAUUAACUCUUACAUAAUAUAUGAAAAUUCCAUUAGAUGAACCACAUUGGUAUUAUAAUUUAUCAUACUUUCAUUGAUUUUAUUUUCAUAAUUGUGAUUAAUUUGCAAUAAAUUUAUGGGGAAAACAAGAAAGCCUUCAAUUCCAUUCUCCAAAAGGGAAAACACUAAACAAAAGGCCAAAAGUUACAUUCACUUUACCAACACAAACCAACCAAGAAAGAUAGAAGAAAUGAACUUGCAACAUGACAACCACAAACCAAGUGUAUUGUUCUCAUUUAUUCUAUUCAAAGCAUCAUGUACACAAACAUCCCCUUCCAAAUGGGCUCAUUAAAAUGGAGGAGGCCCACCAUGUGGCCCACCAGGAGGCCCACCAAAGAUAGGCCCACAGCAGCUCUCUAGGAUGCAGCAACAGCACAGGAAAUAGAAACUGCCAAAUAAAAAUCGUGUCAUAAAUUAAUAAUAACAUGACUGAUCAUUUUUGUUACUGAUAACCCUUCUUUCCUAAGGCAUUGUUUGGUUAGAAUCCCAAAAGCACUUUUUCUCCUUUUUUAGUUUCAAAAAUUAUUUUCAUGUUAAAUGUGAACCCAAACAUUACCCAAAUGAUUCUGGGUUUUGAAGAUAGCUAUAAAACUCAUAGAUCUACCCAAAAAUGAACGAUGGGGAAUUAAUAAAGAAAAAAAAUUAAAAUUAAAUAAAAUGAAAAAAGUCUCCAAAAGAACUCACCAUGUAGACACGGCCCUGCAAAUACCACCGCAAAGAAAAGCAAAGCAGCCACAAGGGCCUCCAGGCCCUCCUGGUCCCGGGGGUCCCCAACCUGGAGGAGGCAUCUUUUUCUCUCACUUUCUCGAGAAAAUGCAAAGCAGGGAGAUGAACUUAGCGUGGUAGAACAACACCAAUGGUAUUCUAUAUAUAUAUAUAGAAUUUUGGAGCGAUGACUAAAGAGAAGAAAACUUAACGAUGGAGUAUUCUUGAAUCUUGAUCUUUCUAGGCCAGUAUUUGACCGGUAAGUAAAGGUGGAGAAACAGUUGGUUGGGAUAAGGAUGACUGGAGGGGGCAGCUGCCUUUCUUCGGCCUACCUUUCAAAGCCACUAGUUGUUUUCAAUUUUGAAAGCUCCAUGUGACUUUCCUUUUAGUUUUUCUCUCUCUCCUCCUCUUCUUUUCUCACUGAGUCCACCAGUAGGGAAUCGACGCCUGGUUUCAAUUUCAAUCCCAUAGAAGAACAAAAGAAAACGUGAAAUAUGGUUUAGAAUUGGAUCUUUGUCUGAAGAGAAAAUUGGAUUUCACAGCUCCCAAUAGAUUGUUUUGCUAAAAUAAAAUGGCUAAAAAUAUGCACUGUUUUUUAAAGCAUUUUUAUAGUCCGUUUACAAAUCAAUUAGAAAAUAAGGGCACGUCUGGUAAUUGUUAUGUUCUCACGUUUGACAAUCAAAAACACCCUUUUUUUUUUUUUGUUAUUAAAAACAAUACAAAAAUGUUUCAAAUAAUAUUUUUUUAAUAAUUUUUAAAUUUUUUUAGAGUUAUUUUAAAAAAUAAUUAUACAAAAAUGUAGAAUAAUUAAAAAUAAAAUACUAUAUAUAAAAAUUAUUUUUAAAACAAAUUUUAAAAAUAUUAAAAACGAAAUUAAAAUCAUUUUAAGUUUCCAAAUAAACUUUUGUUUUACAAAACACUAUAUUAAGAAUUGCUCUCAAAAAUUGUUUUUAAAAGUAUGUCCUAAGUAAACUUUUCAAAAUAUAAAAUCAAUUGAUGUGAUUAUUAAACUAAAAUCAUCAAUAUAUCUUUUAAAAAUUACUUCAUUGUUAGGCAAAACAUCAAAAAAUAAUAAUAAUUUUUGUAUCUAAAUGCUAACUAAUUCUUCAUAAGAAUAUUAUUGAUAAUUUUUUAAUAAUAUUAAAAAUAUUUUUAUCAAAAUUGCUUCCAAUAUUGCUAUGUUUUUAUCACAAAAAUCAAUAAAAUUUAGGGUUAUUUAAUUAAAAGUCAUUAAAAACCUAAUUUUGAUAAUUUAACUUUUCAUCAUUUUUUUGCUAUAUUUUGAUAAAAAUAUCCUCAUUCUUUUCUUUUAAAAAUAACUUUUUUGUUUAAAACCUACAUAUAAAUACUUCAAAUAGUCGAGAGCAUUUAUGUCAAAAAUUAGUUACUCUUCAGUAAGAACAUGGAAGAGGUUUAAUUUAUAAAUAUGAAGAUUAUUUCAUCUUUUUUAACUAAUUAAUCCUAAAAUUUGUUUCAACAACAUACCCAUUUAUGUUUUAUGAUUAAUUUCCCUUAUUAAUUAAUCCAAUAAUACAAAUUAAAUAGAAAAAAAUUGAAAAUCCAAAACUACUUGUAAAAAUAUUAGGUGGCAUUAAGUGAAAAAUGGAUGAGAUUUGGUAUAGAUUUGGAUUUCUUGUCUCUUUUAGCAAAACAAAAACAAAAGGAAAAAAAAUCACAAAAUUAAAGUCAAAUGAUGACAAUUAUAAAUCUCAAUUAUUUAAUACAAAAGCAAGCAUCUUGAUAGUGACAGCCAAAUUAAAAUCAAAUUAAUCUCUAACCCUUAAAGAAUGACUCCACCAUGACUCCAAACUUUGAAGGAAAUAAUUUAUAUAAAGCUACAAGCCAUUAAUAAAAACAAGGCCCAUUGGAAUGGGGGCAAGUGGGGGUGACAAAUGGAUUAAAAAAUGUUGGUGACUUGCAAUUGGAAAUCUUUGCCAUCAAUGGGCCAGCUAGUCUUUUUGCCUUGGCACUUUUGUUAACAGGGUGGCUUCAAUUAUGUCACAAUUCUUAAAUAUUUGAUAAGGGUAACAAUAAUUGGAAGAGAAUGCAUGUGAUACCCCCUUGUAUUUCAGUGUCAGAGCAUGGCCAUGUGUCUAGUUAAUAAGCAUUAUUGUUGGACAAGUGUCAUCUGCUCAUGGUGACUUAUAAUGACUUGGUUGGUGCAAAUUCAUUAUCACCCAACUACCACCUACUCUAAAUAUUUUCUUAAUCUAUUUUCAAAAAUGAAGAAAAUUUAAAAGAAAAUUAUUUUUAAAUUUUUUUUUGAAAAAAAUAAUCUCUCUUGCAAGCACAAUGUUAUAAUAUGCUAUCUAUAAUAACUCACCCUUUUUUCAUAGAGAUUUUAUCCACUCUACAUCUAUUAAAAGGUAAAUAAAUUUCUAAUUUUACCUCAAACACAAAGCAAAAAACAUACUUUAAUAGAAUUCUUUAGAAAAAAAAUAAAUAAAUAACUCCAAAUGGGCAAAUAUGGAUUAAGUAUCCCCUGCUUCAACUAUUACAUAUACUUCAAAUACAUAAACUAGUCUAACUAUCCAUAGUUUUAUCAUAUAUGACAUCUAAUUUCAAAAUAAUUGGAAUACAUAAUCAUUAUUGGAGAUGCUUUAACGUAUUUGCUCUUUAUAUCUCUUGCUUGGAGGUGUCCCCUACAUAGUCUUCAUCCUCUCCCCUUUGCAGGCCUUUUACUUUCUUUUUCCUUUUCUAGGUAUGCUCAAUAUUAUCUCAUCUUUUCUCUUUAUUGGGGUCUAAGCCUUGUGGAUGAGUGAGGUAUUUCAAUUGCUUGUGAUAGAGGUACCUGCUUUUGCCUCAAGUAGGGGUCAUCUACCACUACCUACCCCAAGUCUAUUUACCUCCCAUUAUAAUCUAUGUGGAAGUAAAGAAUCAAAUAAAAAUCUCAAUAAUAUAAUUAAAGGUUACUCUAUCGAUCUUAGGGAAAUCAAAAUAGAAAAGAAUUCAUCUUAGAGUAAAAUCAAUAUUCAUACUUAUACUAAACUCAAUUGUCUUGUAACUUUCAAAUCAAUUCUCCCUCUAAACAAAAUUUUAAGAGGUAAUUAUAUUAUAUUCUAUAUAUAUAUAUAUAUGUAUGUAUGUAUGUAUGUAUUGGCUCAAGUCUUGUGGAUGAGUGAGGCAUUUAAGUUGCUUGUGAUAGAGGUGCUUGCUUUUGCCUCAAGUGAGGUCAUCUUUCUCUAUCAACCCCAAGUCUAUUUACCUCCAAUUAUAAUCUCUACGGAAGUAAAGAAUCAAUAACAAUCUUGACAAUAAAAUUAAAGGUUACUCUAUCGACUUUAAGGAAGUCAAAAUAGAAAAGAAUUCAUCUUAGAGUAAGAUCAAUGUUCAUACUUAUACUAGACUCAACUAUCUUAUAACAUUCAAAUCAAUUCUCCCUCUAAACAAAAUUUUAAGAAGUAAUUAUGUUUUAUAUAUAUAUAUAUAUAUAUAUAUAUAUAUAUAUAUAUAUAUAUAUAUAUUGGCUCAAGUCUUGUGGGUGAGUGAAUGAGUUGUGAUAGAGGUACUUGCUUUUGCCUCAAGUGGGGUCAUCUACCUCUCUACCUACCCUGAGUCUAUUUACCUCCAAUUAUAAUCUUUACGGAAGUAAAGAAUCAAUAACAAUCUCGACAAUAAAAUUAAAAGGUUAUUCUAUCGACUUUGGGGAAGUCAAAAUAUAAAAUAAUUUAUCUUAGAAUAAGAUCAAUGUUCAUACUUAUACUAGACUCAACUGUCUUACAAUGUUUAAAUCGAUUCUCCCUCUAAACAAAAUUUAAAAAAUAAUUAUAUUAUAUAUAUUAAAGGGGCAAUCAACUUCUAAUUUUUAUAGUUAUAAAUAAAUAUAAUUUGCCUCAAGUCUUGUGGAUGAGUGAGGCAUUUCAACUACUUACGUUAGGGUACUUACUUUUGCCUCAAGUAGGGGUCAUCUACCUCUACCUACCCCUAGUCGGUAUACCUCUAAUUAUAAUCUCUAUGGAAGUAAAGAAUCAAUAAAAAUCUCGACAAUAUAAUUAAAGGCUACUCUAUCAACGUUGAGGAAGUCAAAAUAGAAAAAAAUUCAUCUUAGAGCAAAAUCAAUGUUCAUACUUAUACUAGACUCAAUUGUCAAAGGGUAGUUAACUUCUAAUUUUUAUGGUUAAAAAUAAAUACAAAAUUAUAUUUAAAAGAAUCUUAUAAGUAUUGAAAAGUAGAAAAUAAAGAAAUAACAAUUUGGUAUGAAAUACUCUUUUUUUUAAAUGUGUAUGCAAAUGGUAGUAAAGUGUUUUUAGAAGACCAAAAUUUUACUUUUUCUUUUCAAAAGAUGAUUUCAUGGUAUACGAAUUAAUAAUAUACUACCACAUUUACACGUAAUAGAAUUAUGAGAGAAUGUGAUAAUAGUCUUGUUUCGUGAUUCACCUUCAUUUCAAUCUAAUCGAAAUUGGUAUAAUUUAAGAUGAGUCCACCUUGACAAAUUUUUAACUCUAAUUAUCAAACCAAUAUUCUUAAAUUAUGUCAUGUAUUUAAUAAGAGGUCAAACCAAGCCUACUACCAAAGACACCUUGACUAUAUUCUCAACUCUAGCAAAUAUAAAACAUUUAAGUGUUAUGUCAAAAGAUCUGUAGGGGUAGGUGACAUUUGGUAUGAUGAUAAAAUCAAUUGAACGACCACCUCUAGAAACAUGGAAAUAUCCUCUUAAUGAUAUCAUUAAUUGUAUGAAUUAUAAUCUCAUCAUGCAUAAUUAUAAAUAAGCUAUAAAUUCAAUAUUAGCACUAAAUGAAUUCAUUAAAAAUAUAACGAGUGUCAACUUAAUAACUUAAAGUGACUUAAAAACUUAAUUUAAGACAUUCAGUAAAUUAAGUAUAUUUGAUAAAAUAAUUUAAUGGUAUGAUUUAAAGUCAAAAAUAAUUUUAAAUAAUAAGUAAAAAUAAUUAAUUUAUUCUUAAAUCCAUAUAUUCAUUUUUAUCUUUUUAUCCUCAUUUAUCAUAAUUACCUCCACAAUCUUUUCUGCUAUUCCACGACUUUUAUUGUUACUCGAUCUCAUUUAUUCUAAUUAUGAUUUAUGAGGAUAAAUAUGUUAAUUUAAUGAUUUAAAAUUAAUUUUAUUAAAUGACCUUAAAAUUUAAAAGUAAAAAUUAACUAAUAAAUUUUAAAUCAAUAACUUAAAUAUAAUUCAACUUAAAGUCAACUUAAAUUAUUAAAUAAUAAAUAUUAAAUUUACUAAACAUCCUCUAUAUUUAUAACUUUUUCUUUCGUGUAUAGGUAUAUAAUUUUUUUUCUUCUAUAGCGAGGAAGAAACAUUAUAUUUUAUAUUGAUUGGAAAAUGAUAUUUUGAAUUGAUGACUCGUAAUUAAUUUGUACACAAUUAAUUCUACGAUGAUGAUAACAUCCAUUUGACUCUAAUUCUUACAUAUCCAAAAGUAGGGUAAUGUGAUAAUAUAAAUAUAUUGAAUUGAUAGACUCGUAAUCAAAUUGUACUCAACAUGCUAACAUCCAUUUGACUUCUCCAUCCUCAUUCAAAGAUAGCCAAAGCUGAGUGACGUGACGUGAUGGAAACUUAAAUGCUAUGUUUGGUAUUGAAAAAACGAAAUAUAAUAUAAAAAGAAAUUAAUAAAAAAUUUAUAUAUUUUUAAGAAUUAAAAUAUUAUAUUUUUUAAAGACUAUUUUCAAACUCAUAAUACUUUUUUAGGCACUCUCUUUUAAAAAAUUCAAAUCCAAUUUUAAAAUUUAUAAAUUAUUUUUUCAAACGAUAACUUUUUUUAAUUAAAUUUUGUCCGUAAAUUUAAAAAAAUUUCUUGAAUCGUGGUAUUUUAAAAUAGAUUUUUUAAAAAUUAUUAUAUUUUUCUUUUAAUCUCUUGCUUUUUCUUUUAUUCUUUUUUUUCUUUUCCUUAUAUUUUGAUAAUCACUCGUGUGCAAAGAAUAGAAGCUUGGCUUUAAUUUGAUUAGGAUUUUGGUGAAUGCUAGCACAUGGGGAUAUCACUAGACCCCACCAAUCAUGAGUAUGGCAACCAUUGAUCCUACUUAAUUUGCAACUAACCAUUUGAUCUGGUGGACAGGUGAACUAAUCAGAAGGUUGGAUUAUUUUACAAGGAAUCAAAUCAAAGCUAUGAAUUGUAGGGUCAUGAUUCACUUAUUCCAUACACACCAUCUUAUAAUCAUAACAAACAACAAUUUAAAGGAUAAACUGAGAAGUAGAGCUAGCUAUUUCUCCAAGGAGAACUAAUGGAUAAAUGUAGAACACCCUGAUGGCAUACAGAACAGCUGAUUAUGGAGGUGGGCCUCCAGGUCCACCUGGGCCUCCAGGACCACCAAAGCAAUCCUGUAGCAACCAGCAACAGCACAAGAAGUUCAGGCUGCAACCAAAAUCAAGACCAAAAUUAAACUCUGAAAAAGAAAAAUUAAAAGUAAAUAAAUAAAUCUUCAAAUCGCAUUUCCAAACAGCCUCCUAAUGAAAAAGUUGGUCUCCAUCAACCCCACAUUGGUUAGAUUUUACCUUUUAGCAACUAAACGAGAAUUCAAAGAACAAAUGAUUUAAAAUUGGAUCAGUUUUCUGCAUGAAAGAACUUACCAUGAAGAAAUAGCAUCGCAGAAACCGCCAAAGAAACCACCCGGGCCAGGGCCACCGGGGCCAGGACCCCACCCUCCAGGCCCUCCAGGUCCUCCAGGUCCUCCAGGCCCUCCAGGUCCCAUUACUAGCCUCUCUACACCCACAAACCUACGCCAGCGCCGGACUGUGAUAUAAGCUCACAACCUCUGUUGGAAGCUCUGUGGUCGGAUGGCAAUGAGGGAAAG